GCAGGCAGUUAUGUCACCCUGCAACUCACAACUGGCAGUCCACUGAAGCUCAGCAGGUGUGAGCCUGGCCAGUACCUGGAUGGGAGACCUCCUGGGAAAAACUAAGGUUGCUGCUAGAA
rnacentral:rRNA from 1 species